rnacentral:rRNA from 1 species
AUGCAGAUCUCUUCUUCUGUGCUUUGUUCUGAAUUCUCGCACCUGCCCGUCGCCAUGCCGUCGUCCAUAUACGCCGCACCACAGGCAAGCGCAAGCAACGGCGUUGGCAAUGGCGACGGCAAGCCACACGUGCUUGUUGUCCCUUACCCGGCGCAUGGUCACAUGCUGCCUCUCCUCGACCUCGCGGCGCUGCUCACCGCACGGGGCCUCGCGCUCACCGUCGCCGUCACGGCAGGCAACGUCCCGCUCCUCGCGACAUUCCUCGCAGCGUUCCCGUCAGUCGCCACCGUCGUUCUGCCUUUCCCUUCCUCGCCGUUCCUCCCGGCCGGGUGCGGCGAGAACACCAAGGACCUCCCGGCCGAUCUCUUCCGCCCGUUCAUGGCCUCCCUGGCGGCCCUCUCCGCGCCUCUCCUCUCCUGGUGCAAGUCCCAGCCCCGCGGCGUGACGGCCAUCGUCUCCGACCUGUUCAUGGGGUGGACACUCCCGCUCAUCGAGGAGCUCGGCGUGCCGCACGUGGCCUUCUCGUGUGCCAACGUUCACUACCUCGCCACGACGCACUCCCUCUGGUGA